AUUGAACGCUGGCGGCAGGCCUAACACAUGCAAGUCGAGCGGAUGAAGGGAGCUUGCUCCUGGCUUCAGCGGCGGGCGGGUGAGUAAUUCCUAGGAAUCUGCCUGGUAGUGGGGGAUAACGUCCGGAAACGGGCGCUAAUACCGCAUACGUCCUGAUGGAGAACGUGGGGGAUCUUCGGACCUCACGCUAUCAGAUGAGCCUAGGCCGGAUUAGCUAGUUGGUGAGGUAAAGGCCUACCAAGGCGACGAUCCGUAACUGGUCUGAGAGGAUGAUCAGUCACACUGGAACUGAGACACGGUCCAGACUCCUACGGGAGGCAGCAGUGGGGAAUAUUGGACAAUGGGCGAAAGCCUGAUCCAGCCAUGCCGCGUGUGUGAAGAAGGUCUUCGGAUUGUAAAGCACUUUUAGUUGGGAGGAAGGGCAGUAAGUGAAUAUCUUGCUGUUUUGACGUUACCAACAGAAUAAGCAACGGCUAACUUCGUG
rnacentral:rRNA from 1 species